UACGUAGGGUGCAAGCGUUGUCCGGAAUUAUUGGGCGUAAAGAGCUCGUAGGCGGUUUGUCGCGUCGGCUGUGAAAUCCCGAGGCUCAACCUCGGGCCUGCAGUCGAUACGGGCAAACUAGAGUGUGGUAGGGGAAACUGGAAUUCCUGGUGUAGCGGUGAAAUGCGCAGAUAUCAGGAGGAACACCGGCGGCGAAGGCGGGUCUCUGGGCCAUAACUGACGCUGAGGAGCGAAAGCGUGGGGAGCGAACAGG
rnacentral:rRNA from 1 species